rnacentral:rRNA from 1 species
CCGUGAGGGAAAGGCGAAAAGAACCCCGGCGAGGGGAGUGAAAAAGAACCUGAAACCGUGUACGUACAAGCAGUGGGAGCCCCACCACUAAGCCAGUGGUGAACUCCACAUACGCAUCCUUUGCUGAAGGCAAUGGUUAACGGAGCGAAAGCGACGUUCAACCGCAAAACAAGCAGAGGGGGCUUAGUGGUGGGGUGACUGCGUACCUUUUGUAUAAUGGGUCAGCGACUUAUAUUCUGUAGCAAGGUUAACCGUAUAGGGGAGCCGGAGGGAAACCGAGUCUUAAUUGGGCGUUAAGUUGCAGGGUAUAGACCCGAAACCCGGUGAUCUAGCCAUGGGCAGGUUGAAGGUUGGGUAACACUAACUGGAGGACCGAACCGACUAAUGUUGAAAAAUUAGCGGAUGACCUGUGGCUGGGGGUGAAAGGCCAAUCAAACCGGGAGAUAGCUGGUUCUCCCCGAAAGCUAUUUAGGUAGCGCCUCGUGAAUUCAUCUCCGGGGGUAGAGCACUGUUUCGGCUAGGGGGCCAUCCCGGCUUACCAACCCGAUGCAAACUGCGAAUACCGGAGAAUGUUAUCACGGGAGACACACGGCGGGUGCUAACGUCCGUCGUGAAGAGGGAAACAACCCAGACCGCCAGCUAAGGUCCCAAAGUCAUGGUUAAGUGGGAAACGAUGUGGGAAGGCCCAGACAGCCAGGAUGUUGGCUUAGAAGCAGCCAUCAUUUAAAGAAAGCGUAAUAGCUCACUGGUCGAGUCGGCCUGCGC